CCACCACAGACAACACCGAGGAGCCGAACCACAGGCUCCACUGGCUGCCCAGGUUGGACAGGAGGGUGACCAUCUGUGAGAGGAGAGGUCAGAGAGACAGGAACCAGGAGGCCACGACUGGAAAGUCCAGGCAGAAGAGAACUGCGGAGCCAGCCCAGGGAAGGACAGAAGUGGAAAAGUCACCACAGACAGGAACAAGGUAGGGAUGGACGCUGAACUCUGGGGUGAGACAAUCCGCUGCCUUUGAGGGCCUCUGUGUCUCCAGUGCCCACUACCAUGUCCCCUCCCGUGAUGGCCCUCCGCCCACCCUGUGGGACAGCUGGGCCCAGGGGAGAGCCCUGGGAGGAGGAACUGCAGGGGGAACAGGCCAGCUGUGCCAGGGAAGAGCAUGAACUCCAGGAAUGCAAACCCUUGCAGCUUACAUAUUUUCUUUUUGUGAUUUUCUUUCUCUCUCAGCUUCCUGGCACACGACUUCCCUGCCAAACAACUCAACUGUAGUCAAAAGGAAAGAGAUUUGUCUAGUCCUAUACCAGGAUAAGGAGGAGAUUCCAAGGUGCUCCAAACUUUACUGAUUGUGCCCUUGUUCAGUUAAAAAAAAAAUCUUAAACAGGUCCAAUACAUGUA
rnacentral:lncRNA from 1 species